GUAGGGAAUAUUAGAAAUGGACGAAAGUCUGAUCUAGCAACACCGCGUGUGCGAAGAAGGCCUUCGGGUUGUAAAGCACUUUUUGGAAGGAUUAGGAAGGAAUGUACUUCCAGAAUAAGUCUCGGCUAACUACGUGCCAGCAGCCGCGGUAACACGUAGGAGGCAAACGUUAUCCGGAUUUACUGGGCGUAAAGCGCGUGUAGGUGGUUCUGUAAGUAGGGCGUGAAAGCUCCUGGCUCAACUGGGAGAGGCCGUUCUAAACUGCAGAGCUAGAGGAUGGUAGAGGGAGGUGGAAUUCCGGGUGUAGCGGUGGAAUGCGCAGAUAUCCGGAGGAACACCAGUGGCGAAAGCGGCCUCCUGGACCAUUCCUGACACUCAGACGCGAAAGCUAGGGUAGCAAACGGGAUUAGAAACCCUUGUAGUCC
rnacentral:rRNA from 1 species